UCGACGAUGAAGCCUUUCGGGGUGGAUUAGUGGCGAACGGGUGAGUAACACGUGGGCAAUCUGCCCUUCACUCUGGGACAAGCCCUGGAAACGGGGUCUAAUACCGGAUAAUACUUUCUCUCUCAUGGGGGAAGGUUAAAAGCUCCGGCGGUGAAGGAUGAGCCCGCGGCCUAUCAGCUAGUUGGUGGGGUAAUGGCCUACCAAGGCGACGACGGGUAGCCGGCCUGAGAGGGCGACCGGCCACACUGGGACUGAGACACGGCCCAGACUCCUACGGGAGGCAGCAGUGGGGAAUAUUGCACAAUGGGCGAAAGCCUGAUGCAGCGACGCCGCGUGAGGGAUGACGGCCUUCGGGUUGUAAACCUCUUUCAGCAGGGAAGAAGCGAAAGUGACGGUACCUGCAGAAGAAGCGCCGGCUAACUACGUGCCAGCAGCCGCGGUAAUACGUAGGGCGCAAGCGUUGUCCGGAAUUAUUGGGCGUAAAGAGCUCGUAGGCGGCUUGUUGCGUCGGUUGUGAAAGCCCGGGGCUUAACCCCGGGUCUGCAGUCGAUACGGGCAGGCUAGAGUGUGGUAGGGGAGAUCGGAAUUCCUGGUGUAGCGGUGAAAUGCGCAGAUAUCAGGAGGAACACCGGUGGCGAAAGCGGAUCUCUGGGCCAUUACUGA
rnacentral:rRNA from 1 species